rnacentral:lncRNA from 1 species
CUGGGAUAUACACAGUAGUUGUCAUGUGAUUUUACUUAAGCCUGAUAUCUCCCAACAUAGACCUAAUUUUCCAUCUAGGAAAUGUUGAUAUCCUGCCGUUCCAUGAUAAGGCUAAGUGAGAAGUCUGCAGUCCUCAAAUGUAAUUUUUCUACAUGAGUUAUCUUGCUUGCUUUUUUCAUUGAGGCAGCCAAAAAAAUAAAUCCAGCAAAGACCAUUUUAUUCCCCUCCACUUCACUGUGAUGCAAGUUGAUAGACCACACUAACCCCUAAGGAGGAUCAUUUCUGAAAUGUGAGAAUGCAGGUGUUUUGCUUAUUUUCUACAUGGGCACUUUUCUCUCUGCCAGCGCCUGUCUCCAGAGAUGACAGCACUGCAAAGAAACCGGGAGCUGAAAAACCACAGGGCCAUCAUCACCAAAAACAGAGUCUGAGAAGCUGUUACAGACAAGGGGAGCCUACGGAGAAACAACUAAGUGUAAUAUAGUAUCCCAGAUGGGAUCCUGAAAACAAUACAGAAAAUCAGAUGGAUACUCCUGAUUGGUAUCUGGUGUUUGCCCUUCCUCUCUAACAGAAAUAACUUCAAUUCUACUUGUGGUAAUUCACAAGAUGUCCUGAAUUAUUAACUCUUGAUCAAUUUCUAAGCACAGCUGACUUUUAAUGAAAUUAAAAUUACUGAAUCUUUAAAAAUAGAAAUAAAGAAAAAAAGUUGAGUUGAAACAAGAGCAAUUCUAAAGGAAAUCCAAAUCUACAAUCUCUCCUGAACUCCAUGGGUCUAGAUGUGUAUAAAAGUUAAGAACUUUUAGGAUUUUAAAACAGUGUUGUACACAUACUGUAGAUUAUAUACAUCCAUCGUUACCCAUAACUAUGCAAAAUAAGAGAUUAGAAAUAACCUACUGUUUAGCCAUGGCAGGUUUGCCAUCAAAUGAGUUUCAGAAAAACUUUUAGUAUUCAUAUCAUUUUGGAUUACAGAUUUGCAAAUAAGGCUUUGUGGACCUAUAAUUUUAAUACCUUAAGAAGAGAAGAAAGCCAUAGCAUAAAACUGGAAAAGUUUAAACCUUUUUUGAAAAUGUAUGCAUUUUAACAGAUUCUUUUAACUUUGAAAGUUCCAAUAAUAUAGAAUUAUAGCUAAGAGUUUCACCAUCAUGUUUCAAUUUUGUUUUUCCAGAGUUUUUCCAGAAUGGCCAUGUAGUUUCUGAAAAGUGUAGCCAUGGAUUUACGAAACCAAUGUUUAUAUUUUGUAUAUUUUAUUAUUAUUUAUUUUUUAUUUUUUAGAGACAUGGUCUCACUAUGUUGCCCAGACUGGCCUGAAACUCCUGUGCUCAGAUAAUCCACCUGUUUCAGUGUCACAAGUAGUUGGGAUUAUGGGCAUAUGCUACCAUUCCUGGUUACUUUGUGCAUCUUAAACUAACAAUUAUAAUCAAAUAACACCUGGCCUAGUUAGUGGUUUGAAGGGGAACCAGACAACAAAGAAUAUAGAUGAAUUAGUGUCUGUCUACCAGCGCUGCUAUUUUUAGAGAAAACCUUUCAACAAUUAUGAAUAGUGGUGUGUUAGGCAGAAUUAUAAGAAAUGUAAUAUAACAUUUCCAAUAGUACAUUUAAGAAUACUUUUACGUAUACUUUCUACUCUAUAUUUAAGAUAGCAUACUAUGUUUCUUUUACAUUGGAAUCUCCUUUUGAUGCUGUGAUUAGGGUCUAUGUAGGACAACCUUAUAGAUAAGACUAUUAUACUGAAAUCUUUUAGGUCUAAAACUUAGUACAUUGUAUUGAGGC